CGUGGGACCACUCGCCGCGGUACAUCCACCUGCCCUUCGUCUCCACGCCCAGCCCGUGGCGCUUGCCCUGCGCCCAGUAGCCCAGAUCACAUGGGGAGCCCACCAAGUUCCACGGGUGCAGAAAUAGGGGGCAAAAAGAACGUGAAUGACACCGAGGCUUUUCAGGGACAUCGCUGCUGGGAACUUCAUUAGGAGCGUCUCAAUAUGCCAUCAGCUCCACGGUCAUCAGGCGACUGAAGAGCUCUAAAUCCUGCCAAGUACUUCUUUGCCAGAUAUUUGAUAAUCAGAUAAAAAAUUGUAAGGGCAAAUGACAGGAGAAACAUGUAAGCGUAGAAACUGCAGAGAGAAUAACAGGGAAGGGGAUUGAAAGCUGCUGUCACAGUAUCCUAGCUUUUUGUUCUUUCACAGUUACAGACCGGGACGGAAAAAAAAAAAAAAACAUGAAAGAAAACGUUCCUCUUCAGUGGGGAUUUUGUUAGAAACAUGAAUCAUAUUUGUGAAUCGUGGUACUCCCCGGACACAGAUUAUUUGUAAAAGUAGGGAAAUAAUAGUGGCUAUGUUAGUAGUGAUGAAUGAAAACAGAAAUAUAAUUGCAGGUGGAAGAUUUGAAUUCAAAACAUUAGAAAUUGAAACAGUUAAGCUUCAGAAAUCUGCCAAAUUCAGCUCAAAUGUGAGCAGUUUUGACUUAAACCUAAACGAAAUUAAAGUAUUGCAUGUACUAAACAUACCCAUGUAACUUGAAUAAAUUUUAAAAUUUUGUGCUUCAUAGCACUCUUCUGUGUACAUUUUUAUGCCACAUUUACAGUUUAGUGCCAAAGUAUUUCUGCUCUUUCUAGUGGAGAGUUGGGCACCAUAACUGAUCCUGUUGCCUCCUGUCAUCAUAAGAAGUGUGUGCUUCAAAGCCUUCUUUCUGUGCCAAUAAGAGGAUUUCUAGGUCUGCUUGAACAUGUGGAGGUAGAAGACAGCGCACACAUUUGGACAUAUACAUAUAAAGAGAAAAAGGCACAAAGACUUGUGCAAAGACUUUUCAUGAGAAGAUGGAGAAGCUUUCAAUGCCCUUUGGAGCCCAGAAAAUUUUGUUCGAUAGUUUUGGAGUGUAGAAAACCAGACAAAAAAAUGUUGUUUCUAUAGAACAGACAUGCAGUCUUUCGUGUAUCAUUGGACAAAGCUACGAAGUGUGCUGAAGUUAAGGACAGAGACCUUCACUGCAAUAUAGGAUUUUUGGAAAGCUUUUAUUUAUUGAGAAUGGAGGGGAAGUCUGAAAAUGUUGCAGUUGGUGGGAUUGUUGAAGAAGAUAGAGUGCAGUAUUCUCUAAAUAUUGCUCGAGCUCAUUGGGUUUUAUACCCUACAUGUCUUGCAUUUCUUCCUCAAGAAAAAGACUGGAAACAACAGUGGUGACAACACAUGUGCUUUGAGGAGUUUACUAUUUUCAUUCUAUUAUUUUUUUUCCUGUUUCCUUUCUUUUGACAAAAGAUAAAGUCCUGUCAUGUUUGAACAGAAUUACAGAAGAUUGAAACGUUUUAUAUGGUUGUGGGGAACUACCUAUUGGAAGUCAGCAUGCAUAAUAGCUGAUACUGGUGUACAAUUAACUAGUCAUUGACGUUGCCUGUUCAUAACUGCAUGUUAUUGUAUGAGCAAACUUUUUUGACGUUGUCACGCUUUAACUGGAGCUGCUGAGCAUUGGGUGUGUCUAUUAUGAGAGUACUGUUGCUUUGCACUUUGUUUCAGGGUGUUGUGUGCAGGAAUGAGGUGUAAAGCCAGAACUGCCUUGGACAACACUUCUGUGCCCUGUGCACAGCUGGAACACAACCAGCACGGAGUGGAGCAGAAGUGGGGCUGUGAAAACGAGUUAGCAAAUCCAGACAGUGCUGCUUUGGCCCAGCAGUGGAAGAGGUCCCUUGGUUGUUGAAGUUCUCCAUGUUCACCCUGUUCUGUGCUUUGAAGGACUACCAGCAGCACCCAAAGCUUUUGAGUCCUGCAUUGCCAUGACAUACAGAUUUUCCAGGUGCCUGAGGGGGACCAAAACCUGGUUGAAGCUUUUCUAAUUGUUUGGAGGAUUUGUAUUAACUCUUAAAUCAGGUAAGAAUUUGAGUUGUUUAAUAUUUAUUUGUUAGCGAUGUGCAAAGCAGCUCUCUUCUGCCUGGAUGUGUGUUUUGUGGCUAAGUACUGUGUACUUAUUUAUAAGUUGUAGGAGUAACAUUCUUUUGGGAUCUUAAUUUAUCUGUUAAUUUUCAUGUUAUUUAGCUAGUGAAUGAAAUAAUUUUCAUACAUGCUGCUUUAAUAUUCUAGGGGAAAAUAAAUUCAGUUUUUCCUGCUCACCAUGGUGCUGUUUUCCUGAAUACCUCUAUUGAGCAGUAUAUACCACUUAUAUCUUCCCAGAAAUCUAGGCUUUUUGCCAAGCUCUAGGCCACUUAUUAAUUGAAAAUGGUCCUUUAUUAGUUAGCAUUUUCAUCACCAGUGAUUACAGACCUUCACAGAGCUCUGGUAAAGAGAAUUCCUUCAUCAGACAGACAGCUCUGCAGUGUUUCUGUCUCAUGUGACUCCAGUGAAGGAGACCAGAGCUCUGCAGGUCACACCAGGAGACCUUUGCAAUGGUGAGUGCAUCUCAAAGAAGGCAACUUCCGUGGGGAUCACAGUUCUUCAGCUACUCCCUGGAGCUUGCAGUUCCUUAUGAUCUGCCUUGGUUUUAUCAGGCAGAUUUUAUCAGACAUAGGGAUGAGACCCUACAUCAGUCUGGAUUAAUACCUAAUUUUGUCUUAACAUGGGAUCUGUCUUGUGAAUUUCUUUGGGUUUUUUCUUAUUAAAAAUGGAAUGUCUUUUUUUAAUUGAGUGGUGAUAAAUUAGUGUUAAAAUAGCAAUUAGAUAUGAUAUUUCUAAUUUUAAAAGACAUUUUGAAGACCUUGGCUGAUGUCACACACACUCCUGUUUUGCUGUACUGUAUCAGAACAAACAACUGUUGCAUUUCACCAAUCAAUUAGUAUUGGUGCUUCUUACACCUCAGAUAAUUGGUUCUUCUGAGUGAAUGCAUUUGCAAAAUUAAUAUAAAAUCACUAUCAUUCUAAAUAUGACAGUGUUUGGGGUUUGCUGGUAGGUUUUUGUUGUUGUUUUGUUUGUUGUUUGUUUUUUCAGUUUAUGAUGGAGAAGACAAGACAAAUGCUACCAGAGGUGCAAAAGCUGAGGGUUUUGCUGUUUGAUACUGAAUGUAAUAUUGAUCUUUUGGGCACAGUAUAGUCACUUUUGAGAUAUGUUUCCAUUUGAAAAGUCUGCAAUAGAGGAAUUGAGCUUUAGAGGACAUUACCAUGGGGCUAAGCAGGCUGUGCUGCAAAGACCAUUAAUAGAAAGCCACUCCCUCAAUCUGCUUAAACUUUGGUGAGGAUAAUGCGGCUUACUCUAACUGAUUUUUGAUAAAACAGUUAAAGACAAACAGAUGCUUUUUAUGCCUGAAAGAAGUGCACCCUAUUGAUAAGUUUCUUCUGCUUCUUCAGAAAUAUUUGUCCUGGGGAAGAAAACUUUUCUCAUCACAGCUAACAUUGAAGUCAAAUGCCUUAAUGUAUUUUGGUAUUUAAGUUUAUGGAAAAUAAUAUAACAAGGGUUAUUGCAUCAUAAUCAGCCUAACCAAUGAAUGAAACCUCCCAGCUGGUAUGAGAUUCCAUUUAUUCUUAAUUUGCUUCUCUUCUGUUGGUCUUUUCAGUGCUUGUAACAUAAUGUCAUGAUGUUUUUAUAUGAUGAAGAAACCCCAUCACUGUGUGGAUUACAGUGUCAGCCCCCUCCGCAUCUUGAAAAUUGGCUUUCUUUGCAAACGCACUUCCUCUAGUACCACACUACUGCAAAAUGGUUUUCUAUUUAUCCACUGAAAUUUCACUUAAAGGUUUGAUUCUGCACUUUGGAACACACAACCAACAAUGCAGAAUUUUGAAUGUCUGUCUCUAUCUUGUGCAGGUGCAGAACAGUUUUAUGCUCUUGUUUUGGUGAAUUCAAAUGUAUUCACAUGAAUUUGCAGCUCUGCAUGUGAAUAUGUAUAUCUGUAUUUGUAUGUAAUAUGUUAUGUAUAUCUGGAAAGUACAAGAUAAACAUUGGAUAAAUUAGUAUUUGCAGUACUAUUUUCCU